CACGUAGGGCGCAAGCGUUGUCCGGAAUUAUUGGGCGUAAAGAGCUCGUAGGCGGUUCGUCGCGUCGGCUGUGAAAUCCCGAGGCUCAACCUCGGGUCUGCAGUCGAUACGGGCGGACUGGAGUUCGGCAGGGGAGACUGGAAUUCCUGGUGUAGCGGUGAAAUGCGCAGAUAUCAGGAGGAACACCGGUGGCGAAGGCGGGUCUCUGGGCCGAUAUUGACGCUGAGGAGCGAAAGCGUGGGGAGCGAACAGG
rnacentral:rRNA from 1 species